UGCUGUAGCGUCCUACUUUUCGACUGGUUAGGCUCAAAGGUGUUUCCAAGUUCACCUUCCUGCCCGGUCCCUGUGUUGACUCAGUGGGACACGGAGUGUGCUGCUUCCUGGGCCUUCCAGGAGUGGAGUGACAAUGGUAGCAAAGAACUCGCUGCUUGUACUCAGCGCUACUCUCAAAGGACUGAGCUCAGAAGACAGCCUCUGAAGCGGGUCCUGACCCACCAUUAACCUGAAAGUUGCUUCACACUUCGGAACAAUGAGUGUCAAGUACAAAAUCAAUAAAAUCUCCAUCACUAAGCGGCGCCUAUCUUUGAACUUAAAUCGUAGGCAUCACCUUC